UACGUAGGGGGCAAGCGUUGUUCGGAAUUACUGGGCGUAAAGAGUGUGUAGGCGGUGCUCCAAGUCUGUUGUGAAAUCUCCCGGCUUAACUGGGAGGGUGCGGCGGAAACUAGAGUGCUAGAGGGUGGGAGAGGUAAGCGGAAUUCCUGGUGUAGCGGCGAAAUGCGUAGAUAUCAGGAGGAACACCUGUGGUGUAGACAGCUUACUGGACCACUUCUGACGCUGAGACACGAAAGCGUGGGUAGCAAACAGG
rnacentral:rRNA from 1 species